AUAGGCAGCCCCUAUGGUCACAGGCUUUGAUGAAAUCAAAACCAGACAUUCCUUUUCCUGACUCCAGGGAAUCUUUGUGCCCAAGGCUCAUUUCAUGGAGGCUCCUGGAGGUGGAGAGAACUGAGGAAUAGCAUACUCCCUCUGUCUGGCCCUGUCUCUACUCACAUUCCUUUAUUGGCUACAGGCCCGCAUUCCUUCUGAUAAGUUGGUCUUCUGUCAACCGAGUCUGCAGAAGUCAUCCUGUCUUUCUCCAUGGAAACUGCUUUGGAUAAGUUAUCACUUCCUUCGGCAGACUCUCCUAGUGUACACAGAGAAGGACAUCCAGAAGACCCUGAAAAGGAGAUGACAGUCCUUCCUGGAGACUCUGAAGGGGAGAGGAGGAGCCCCAGAUCAAGCUCCAACUUCAGAUUAUCUAUCGGGUCCACCCAAAAACAUGUUUGUCCUGAAAUAGAUGCUCAGUGUGUUGGAUCAAUAAAGAAAAAAGAGAUUCCUGACCCUCAACACACUCUUGGGCUUCCCUUGAAGGAGUGGGUGUAUAAAUAUUUUAAUUAUGCUGGAGAGAUCAAGGCUGCCCAAUGUAUUCUCACUUAAGAAUCAAAAAAGGCAAAAAAAAAAAAAAAAAAAAAAGAAUCAAAAGAGGCAAACCUUGAACAUGCAGAUUCUCAGACUCCUCCCCUGGCCAUCUGAGUCUCCCUGGUGUGGGAGGCAGCCCUGAGAUCUGUUUGACAGUGACCCAGGUAAUUCUGAGGUCUGGGACAUCUCUUAGAGACAUGGAUCUAAACCUGUAAGUAUCAAUUUUUUUUUCUUUUCCUCUAAACUAUUUUCACAAAUCUAUAUUCAUCACCAAACAUUUUUAAGUAGACAUCUAAAAUUUUUUCAUCAUAAGGAUGAGAUUUCUAGCCUAAAAUAAAAAUGGACAUUUUAAGUAAGUAAAACUGUUAAUAUCACUCUUUUCAAUACAUCCAAAAGAAUGUAAAUAACAGGGGCACCUGGAUGGCUCAGUGAUUGAGUAUCUGCCUUUGGCUCAGGUUGUGAUCCUGGGGUCCUGGGAUUGAGUCCCAGUUAGGCUCCCUGCUCAGUGGGGGCCUGCUUCUCCCUUUGCCUAUGCCUCUGCCUCUCUCUCUAUCUCUCAUAAAUAAAUAAAUUCUAAAAAGAAUGUAAAUAAUAUAGGGUUUCAAUAUGCACCAUCAUCCAUUCUAAAAAUAUGAGAAUGAGCUCUCAGUAAUGGAUAAAACAUUUACACUGCUUUUUUUUUAUUUUUUAUUUUUCCCUCAUUUGAUCUUCCCUUCUAGUCUACUUCCCCCACAGGAUUUUAUAGAACAUGAUCUAUUUUAUGCUUGGAAGUCUUUUAUUGUUUGCCCUCUCAUAUUCUAUAGGCUCUCCUAUUUCUCAUAUUUAUAAAUUGAUACUGAAAUUUAAGAUAUAAUUUCCCAAAGGCCUAA
rnacentral:lncRNA from 1 species